UACGUAGGGUGCGAGCGUUGUCCGGAAUUAUUGGGCGUAAAGAGCUCGUAGGCGGUCUGUCGCGUCGGUCGUGAAAACUUGGGGCUUAACCCUGAGCUUGCGGUCGAUACGGGCAUGACUGGAGUUCGGUAGGGGAGACUGGAAUUCCUGGUGUAGCGGUGAAAUGCGCAGAUAUCAGGAGGAGCACCGGUGGCGAAGGCGGGUCUCUGGGCCGUAACUGACGCUGAGGAGCGAAAGCAUGGGGAGCGAACAGG
rnacentral:rRNA from 1 species